UACGUAGGAUGCAAGCGUUGUCCGGAAUUAUUGGGCGUAAAGAGCGCGCAGGCGGUUACUCAAGUCAGAUGUGAAAUAUCCGGGCUUAACCCGGAGGGGUCAUUUGAAACUGAGUAACUAGAGUACAGCAGAGGAUAGCGGAAUUCCCGGUGUAGUGGUGAAAUUCGUAGAUAUUGGGAAGAACACCGGUGGCGAAGGCGGCUCACUGGCUCGUAUCUGACGCUCCGGCGCGACAGCGUGGGGAUCAAACAGG
rnacentral:rRNA from 1 species